UGGGGAAUAUUGGACAAUGGGGGAAACCCUGAUCCAGCAAUGCCGCGUGAGUGAAGAAAGCCUUAGGGUUGUAAAGCUCUUUCGCCCGCGAAGAUAAUGACGGUAGCGGGAGAAGAAGCCCCGGCUAACUCCGUGCCAGCAGCCGCGGUAAUACGGAGGGUGCGAGCGUUACCCGGAUUUACUGGGUGUAAAGGGCGUGUAGGCGGUUUCUCAAGUCCGAUGCUAAAGACCGAAGCUCAACUUCGGGAGUGCGUUGGAUACUGUGAGGCUAGACGGUCGGAGAGGGUAGCGGAAUUGCCUGAGUAGCGGUGAAAUGCGCAGAUACAGGAAGGAACGCCAAUAGCGAAAGCAGCUACCUGGACGAUUUGUGGCGCUGAGGCGCGAAAGCGUGGGGAGCAAACC
rnacentral:rRNA from 1 species